GAUGAACGCUGGCGGCGUGCUUAACACAUGCAAGUCGAACGAAGCAAUUUAACGGAAGUUUUCGGAUGGAAGUUAAAUUGACUGAGUGGCGGACGGGUGAGUAACGCGUGGGUAACCUGCCUCAUACAGGGGGAUAACAGUUAGAAAUGACUGCUAAUACCGCAUAAGCGCACAGGAUCGCAUGGUCUGGUGUGAAAAACUCCGGUGGUAUGAGAUGGACCCGCGUCUGAUUAGCUAGUUGGUGGGGUAACGGCCUACCAAGGCGACGAUCAGUAGCCGACCUGAGAGGGUGACCGGCCACAUUGGGACUGAGACACGGCCCAAACUCCUACGGGAGGCAGCAGUGGGGAAUAUUGCACAAUGGGCGAAAGCCUGAUGCAGCGACGCCGCGUGAGCGAAGAAGUAUUUCGGUGUGUAAGGCUCUAUCAGCAGGGAAGGAAAAUGACGGUACCUGACUAAGGAGCACCGGCUAAAUACGUGCCAGCCGCCGCCGUAAUAC
rnacentral:rRNA from 1 species